GGAAUUCCUGGUGUAGCGGUGAAAUGCGCAGAUAUCAGGAGGAACACCGAUGGCGAAGGCAGGUCUCUGGGCUGUUACUGACGCUGAGGAGCGAAAGCAUGGGGAGCGAACAGGAUUAGAUACCCUGGUAGUCCAUGCCGUAAACGUUGGGCACUAGGUGUGGGGGACAUUCCACGUUUUCCGCGCCGUAGCUAACGCAUUAAGUGCCCCGCCUGGGGAGUACGGCCGCAAGGCUAAAACUCAAAGGAAUUGACGGGGGCCCGCACAAGCGGCGGAGCAUGCGGAUUAAUUCGAUGCAACGCGAAGAACCUUACCAAGGCUUGACAUGGACCGGACCGCUGCAGAGAUGUAGCUUCCCUUCGGGGCUGGUUCACAGGUGGUGCAUGGUUGUCGUCAGCUCGUGUCGUGAGAUGUUGGGUUAAGUCCCGCAACGAGCGCAACCCUUGUCCUAUGUUGCCAGCACGUAAUGGUGGGGACUCAUGGGAGACUGCCGGGGUCAACUCGGAGGAAGGUGGGGAUGACGUCAAAUCAUCAUGCCCCUUAUGUCUUGGGCUUCACGCAUGCUACAAUGGCCGGUACAGUGGGUUGCGAUACUGUGAGGUGGAGCUAAUCCCUAAAAGCCGGUCUCAGUUCGGAUCGAAGUCUGCAACUCGACUUCGUGAAGUUGGAGUCGCUAGUAAUCGCAGAUCAGCAACGCUGCGGUGAAUACGCUCCCGGUCCUUGU
rnacentral:rRNA from 1 species